rnacentral:rRNA from 1 species
AGAGCGAACGCUGGCGGCAGGCUUAACACAUGCAAGUCGAGCGGGCGUAGCAAUACGUCAGCGGCAGACGGGUGAGUAACGCGUGGGAACAUACCUUUUGGUUCGGAACAACACAGGGAAACUUGUGCUAAUACCGGAUAAGCCCUUACGGGGAAAGAUUUAUCGCCGAAAGAUUGGCCCGCGUCUGAUUAGCUAGUUGGUGAGGUAACGGCUCACCAAGGCGACGAUCAGUAGCUGGUCUGAGAGGAUGAUCAGCCACAUUGGGACUGAGACACGGCCCAAACUCCUACGGGAGGCAGCAGUGGGAAUCUUGCGCAAUGGGCGAAAGCCUGACGCAGCAACGCCGCGUGGAGGACGAAUGCUUUCUGAGUUGUAAACUCCUUUCAGCAGGGACGAGUUGUGACGGUACCUGCAGAAGAGCACCGGCAACUACGCGCCAGCAGCCGC